GUGUCAUUCUCCUGAUAAGGAAACCAGGAGGUUGCUUACAUUUGCCUGAGGAAUGUUCCAGAGCAGGCCUGGGACCAAGUACCAGACCUACUCCAGAGACAGCAGUGAGCUGAGGCUCUCUAGGGCCGACGAUUGUCUUCCCACUGGACCAGUGCUCCUUUAAGACUAGGGGCGAGCCAGAAACCCACUCCGCAGAGAAGCCCUUUGCUCCGUCAGUGGUUAAACGGACAAACGUCCGUUACACAACUCACCAAGAUCUGGACCAGUGCUGUGCUGGGGAAGAACUUCACGGAUUCCUGUUCUCAGACCUCCUCCUCUGUGUGAUUCCGGCGAGGAGAAGGCGCAGGUGGAAGGGCUGCAGUGAAGACAGGGUGUUGGGAAGAGCUGGCACGAAGAGUUAAGAGACCCGGGGCAUACCCAGCUCUGCACCAACUGGGCAGUGACCCUGGCCAGCCACUCCAGCUCCUGGACCUGCUGCUUUGUCUGUUUUAGGAAAAAAUCGUGCUCCAAUUGGUAAAGCCCUCUGACUGACAGCAUAUGAUAUGUCCCACAUGGGCAGCUCCUUUAAUAUUUUAUGUGAUGUAAUUCUGAGCCCCAUUUCAUCGUGGCAAGUCUAUUCCUCUCCUCUCCCUUCUUCCGUGAGACUCAUCACUCCCCAGGGCUGCUCCUUGCGCUCUGCUUUGCCCCUUGAAGUGGAGGCUGUCACCUCCUCUGGGGUCUGGGCUCCCAGGGUCACAGUCCCUGUAAUGAAAUUCACGCAUGUCUCGAUUGCAGUCUGUGAUCGCAUGUCUCUGCACAGUCUGUGAUCGCAUCCAGCCUCCCCCUGAAGGAGUCAGGCGGCCAGCACCACGAGUGCUUCAGAGACGCUGCAAUAGCUUUGAAUCUGUGAAGGAGUCCAGAUCCCGUCCUUCCGCAAGGCUUCUUGGCCCUGACGCAAUUUGUCCACCCCUCCUUAGCAAUCGGGCCAUGUAGGGGGCGAGGCGAUGACAGUCUGCCGAGGCCAACAGUCCUGGCUCACUCUCUCCCAGAGGAUCGGUUGCUGACUUGACCUUCAUCUCCUUCCCUGAAAGGGACCACUCAGGCGGUUUUUCUCAGGGACACUCACUGUCUCCGCUGCUAGAAAUAGAAGUGGCUGGAAACUUUGAACAGGAACUUGCUUUCAGAAAAUCCAGUUCCUCCUCCCCUGCAACAUUUUUCUGAUGUUCCAUUCAGCCUUGUCUUUCCUUAAAGAUAGCAGAGCUUGGAGGCAACUUCAGGCUGGGGGGGAACAGGAUCAGGGGACAGGAGAUGACGUUUUGUGUCCCUUUGUCUCCUGCAAGAAGCAGGCAAUGGGGACCUCCUCCCUCCCUGCAUCCAGCCUCCAGACUCUCCGGGGUUUCCAUGUACCCCUCCCUCUGUGGGCUGAGCUCUGGUCAUUUGGCAGGCCCCCCUGAGGUGGCCUGCCACAGGCGGGUGGAAGGGAUGGGUGGGCACAAGAUCAGCAGGCUUUCCUCAAGCUAGGGUGUGGGCUCAGAUGGGCUGUGGGGUGACCAGCAGGUCUCCUGCCUCCUGGGCCUUGGACCCGUUCCUGCUCUCUGAGUCUCGGACUCAGAAACUAUGAUUUCUGGGCCCUGUUUUAAGGAUCGACCAGGGCAUUAUAAAAAAAGUGGGGGCUGCAGCACAGGAAGGCGAGUCUAUUUCAUGUUCUCCAACUUGGUGCAAACUCACACUUGAACACUCCUCCCCCCUUUUGCUUUUUCUUGUGUCGUCUUUCUUUCUUAGGCUCCUCCCCUUUUCUCUCUCCCUUCCUCCCUCUCCCUCUCCUACCUUCUGUUUUCUGCUCCAUGGUCGAGGGGAGCAGAGCCCAGGGCAGACUGGCCGGAAUGUUGUGCCUUUAACCGAAAGACUAAAGUGCAGUGACCGACCUCUGGUGGCCACAGAGGGGCAGGGGGACAUUUGACACAGGACGUGCCUGUGUGACCUCUCGGGACAAAGAAGCACCCAUCUCGUGGUCCGUCUGGCUCCUCCUGGGGUCUGGCAGCAGGGGUCCCUUCCAUGUCUCUGCAGGCAAAGGCCAGGUCUCCCACUUGUUCGAUGUUGUACUCCAUCUGUAAAAAGGUUUACACGUGACUCCCACACACAGAUUUAUACUUCAUGUAAUCUAUUACUGAACGAAUACAUUAUGCACAUUUAAAGUGUAUUAAAA
ensembl:lncRNA